rnacentral:rRNA from 1 species
GAAUGGUUGUGUGGGUGAGUGAGGUUCCCUUGUGCUUCGUCUCCCGGGUCCCCCGGCGCGCUUAUAUAGUGUGUUUUGCCCUGUCAGGACGAACGCUGGCGGCGUGCCUAAUACAUGCAAGUUGAGCGCUGAAGGUUGGUACUUGUACCAACUGGAUGAGCAGCGAACGGGUGAGUAACGCGUGGGGAAUCUGCCUUUGAGCGGGGGACAACAUUUGGAAACGAAUGCUAAUACCGCAUAAAAACUUUAAACACAAGUUUUAAGUUUGAAAGAUGCAAUUGCAUCACUCAAAGAUGAUCCCGCGUUGUAUUAGCUAGUUGGUGAGGUAAAGGCUCACCAAGGCGAUGAUACAUAGCCGACCUGAGAGGGUGAUCGGCCACAUUGGGACUGAGACACGGCCCAAACUCCUACGGGAGGCAGCAGUAGGGAAUCUUCGGCAAUGGACGAAAGUCUGACCGAGCAACGCCGCGUGAGUGAAGAAGGUUUUCGGAUCGUAAAACUCUGUUGGUAGAGAAGAACGUUGGUGAGAGUGGAAAGCUCAUCAAGUGACGGUAACUACCCAGAAAGGGACGGCUAACUACGUGCCAGCAGCCGCGGUAAUACGUAGGUCCCGAGCGUUGUCCGGAUUUAUUGGGCGUAAAGCGAGCGCAGGUGGUUUAUUAAGUCUGGUGUAAAAGGCAGUGGCUCAACCAUUGUAUGCAUUGGAAACUGGUAGACUUGAGUGCAGGAGAGGAGAGUGGAAUUCCAUGUGUAGCGGUGAAAUGCGUAGAUAUAUGGAGGAACACCGGUGGCGAAAGCGGCUCUCUGGCCUGUAACUGACACUGAGGCUCGAAAGCGUGGGGAGCAAACAGGAUUAGAUACCCUGGUAGUCCACGCCGUAAACGAUGAGUGCUAGAUGUAGGGAGCUAUAAGUUCUCUGUAUCGCAGCUAACGCAAUAAGCACUCCGCAUGGGAGACACGAGUGG